rnacentral:rRNA from 1 species
GCUUAGCAUGAAGUGAAGCACAUACACCUGCUGAAUUUAAGCAUAUAAGUAAGUGGUGGAAAUUAAACCAAAUGGGAUAUCUUUAGUAAUUGCGAAUGAACAAGGAUAUGCUUAGCUUGACAAAUGGAGCUAUUGGCUUUGAAUUGUAUUGUGGAAAUGUAUUACCAACAGAGGUGCAGGUGCCAGCCUAUUGAAAUAAAGCGUCAAUGAGGGUGAGAAUCCUGUUUGUCAUGUGCAGCCCUUUGUGCACGGUGUAUAUUUGCUGAGUCACACUCCUUGGCAUUGGAAUGCAAAGUGGGUGGUAAGUUUCAUGUAAAGGUAAACAUGCAAUUGAGACUGAUAGCACACAAGUACCAUGAGGGAAAUAUGAAAAGGACUUUGAAAAGAGAAUUAAAUGAGUUUGUAUUUGCUGAACACAAAGUAAACAGACUUGAUUUGCUUGGUGGGAGUGUUGCACUUGCUUGACAAGAGCUUUGGGCUGUGGGUGUAAUGAUUCUUUCUUUGCAUGCCAGUUUCUAUUUGUACAUCUGAUUACCUUUGCACAUGAAUGAUAAGUCUCCUGUGGGGGGUGGAUUGCAUGUGCAUGUAAUGAUUUGUGUUUUGAUACAUGUGUCUGGUGUAUGUGUGUGUGUUCCUGUGCUUGGGGAUGCUUCCUUCCUUGGACUUACAAGCCCUGACACACACAUGCUGGCAAAAUGCUUCUGCUUGACCCGUCUUGAAACACGGACCAAGGAGUCUAACAGAUGUGCAAAGUUUGAAGGUGGUAUACCUUUGUGUGCAAUGAAAGUGUCAGCUGGGAUAUGUGCAC